CCGAGAUUGGAGCCUUCGCGCUCUCACUA
rnacentral:sRNA from 1 species